UAGGACACGCCCCUUUGAGCUGUGUGCCUGCGGCGAGGCUAAGCUAGUGGGGGAAAAGUUUCAGUGCAUUCAGUUGAUGUAGACGGCGUGGAAAAGGAUACAACAAGUAUGCCGUCUCACUGUGCUGCAUACAAUUGCACACUGCGUCGUAAGAUUGAGACAAGUAAACCUGGAAUGACUCUUCAUAGGUUUCCCAGAGGCUAUGGGCUGAGGAGGAAGUAGGAAGUAGCUCUGAGGAGAGAGGUGUUUGCUGCAAAUGAUGAGUGGGUGCUCUGCAGUGAUCAUUUUAAACCUGUGAGUUUGACAGGGCUGGCCAGGUUUGUCGGCUUAGACCUGGUGUCAUUCCAUCAGUGUUUAACUUCCCGGCUCAUCUUGGAAGAGUACGUGCCAGAAAGACCACGACCAAGCAGCCUUGAGAUCUUAGACAGCAUCUCCCUGAGGUCCCUCUCUAUCUCCCCACACAUCCACCAACCACUGGAACACAUCUCCAAAGUUCUGCUGGGCCAGCUCAGCUUCCCCUCAGAAGAAGUGGCGCCACCUGCCAGAUGAAGGAGCCUUUUGAGAGGCAGCUGGCAUCGUGAUUGGACUGUACUUUGGUCUGUUCCAAUCCAGCUUCAGCUCCAGAGACGGCAGGCGGGACGAGUCAACGGAGGCCGGGUGGACGAAGGCAUGCAGCUGAGUACAAUCCAGAAAACAACAGAGGAAGAAACAAACAUAGUGUAUACAUCAUAUACUGUAUAAAAGACACAUCCACUGUAGAAUUGUAGUAAUUGUGGGCUGACUGAUUUACUGAUUAUCAGUAUUUUAUUUUUUACUGAUUUACGGUAAUAAAUAAAUUUUAAAAUGGCGCUA